rnacentral:rRNA from 1 species
CAAGUUCGAACGGGACAACAUUUGCUAGCAAUACAGAUGGUUGAUUUAGUGGCGCNCNUNGAUGCGAUAACACGGUGGGCAAUCGUGCCGAGAAGUGGGGGCAUNGCUCGCCGAAAGGCGAAUUAAUACCGCAUAUGAUCAGGGACGACAUCUUCCCAACAUCAAAGCCGGGGCAACCUGGCGCUUCUUGAUGAGCCCGCGGCCUAUCAGCUAGUUGGUGAGGUAACGGCUCACCAAGGCUAUGACGGGUAGCUGGUCUGAGAGGACGACCAGUCACACUGGAACUGAGACACGGUCCAGACACCUACGGGUGGCAGCAGUCGAGAAUUUUUCUCAAUGGGGGCAACCCUGAAGGAGCGACGCCGCGUGGAGGAUGAAGGCUUUCGGGUUGUAAACUCCUGUCAUUUGAGAACAAGUGCUAGCAAGUAACUACUGCUAGCUUGAUAGUAUCAGAAGAGGAAGAGACGGCUAACUCUGUGCCAGCAGCCGCGGUAAUACAGAGGUCUCAAGCGUUGUUCGGAUUCAUUGGGCGUAAAGGGUGCGUAGGUGGCGCCGUAAGUCGGGUGUGAAAUUUCGGAGCUUAACUCCGAAACUGCAUUCGAUACUGCGGUGCUUGAGGACUGGANAGGAGACUGNAAUUCAUGGUGUAGCAGUGAAAUGCGUAGAGAUCAUGAGGAAGACCAGUGGCGAANGCGGGUCUCUGGACAGUUCCUGACACUGAGGCACGAAGGCCAGGGGAGCAAACGGGAUUAGAUACCCCNGGUAGUCCUGGCAGUAAACCGGUGCACGUUU